rnacentral:piRNA from 1 species
UCAGGGAGCAACUGUGGGCAGAUGAAAUU